rnacentral:rRNA from 1 species
GGUCACACCCGUUCCCAUACCGAACACGGAAGUUAAGCUCUCUAGCGCCGAUGGUAGUUGGGACCUUGUCCCUGUGAGAGUAGGACAUCGCCAAGC